GGAGUGGCCCGGGUGGCCGCCCCUCGACAAGCUCGGGACCGGGCUUCCUCAAAAGUGGGGAGCCUGCCCUGAGCAAGGUCGAAGGGAGGAAAGUCCGAGCACCGCAGGGCAGGAUGGUCCGUAACGCGGACCGGGGGUGACCCCAGGGAAAGUGCCACAGAGAGCAGACCGCCCGCCGUUGCCCCGAGCUUGUGGUUCGACAAGCUCACCACCCUGAGUAAAAUCGAAGGGUCGAGGGGCGCAGGCGGGUAAGGGUGAAAGGGUGAGGUAAGAGCUCACCAGUGCCGCCGGUGACGGCGGUAGCUAGGCAAACCCCAUCCGGUGCAAGGCCAAAUAGGGGAGCGUUCGAGGGCGGCCCGUCCGAUUGCUCCCGGGUAGGCCGCUGGAGGCCGUCGGCAACGUCGGUCCAAGAUGAAUGGCCACCGUCCAUCGUCGCCAAGGCUGCGGUGGAUACAGAACUCGGCUUACAGGGCCGCUCCGCUA
rnacentral:RNase_P_RNA from 1 species